GAUGAAGAACGCAGCGAAAUGCGAUAAGUAAUGUGAAUUGCAGAAUUCAGUGAAUCAUCGAAUCUUUGAACGCACAUUGCGCUCGCCAGUAUUCUGGCGGGCAUGCCUGUUCGAGCGUCAUUUCAACCAUCAAGCCCCCGGCUUGUGUUGGGGACCUGCGGCUGCCGCAGGCCCUGAAAAGCAGUGGCGGGCUCGCUGUCACACCGAGCGUAGUAGCAUACAUCUCGCUCUGGGCGUGCUGCGGGUUCCGGCCGUUAAACCACCUUCAUAACCCAAGGUUGACCUCGGAUCAGGUAGGAAGACCCGCUGAACUUAAGCAUAUCAAUAAGCGGAGGA
rnacentral:misc_RNA from 1 species